rnacentral:rRNA from 1 species
UACGAAGGGGGCGAGCGUUGUUCGGAAUUACUGGGCGUAAAGGGCGCGUAGGCGGCCGAUCAAGUUAGAUGUGAAAGUCCUGGGCUUAACCUGGGGACUGCAUUUGAUACUGAUUGGCUUGAAUGCAGGAGAGGAUAGCGGAAUUCCCAGUGUAGAGGUGAAAUUCGUAGAUAUUGGGAAGAACACCGGUGGCGAAGGCGGCUAUCUGGACUGUGAUUGACGCUGAGGCGCGAAAGCGUGGGGAGCAAACAGG